ACACCUCCUUCAUCUUGGGCUAAUCCCGCUUUCCGUAUGAUAUGUUCUGUGUAUAGGUUAAACAAAUAGAGUGAUAAAAUACACCCCAUCUCACACCCUUUCCAAUUGGAAAUCAAUCGGUUUCUCCAUAUUCUGUCCUUACAAUAGCCUCUUGUCCAGAGUAUAGGUUGUACAUCAGGACAAUCAGAUGCUGUGGCACCCCCAUUUCUUUUAAAGCAUUCCAUAGUUGUUCAUUAUCUACACAGUCAAAGGCUUUGCUGUAAUCUAUAAAGCACAGAGUGAUUUCCUUCUGAAAUUCCUUGGUCCAUUCUGUUGAGGAAAUUUCAAUUGGCAAAGAAUGCCCACUGCUCACCUCAAUGCUCCCAGGCAGGAAUGCGAGCUGAGAUAGAAUCCCAGUUAUUCGUUUGGCUAAAAGCCACCCAGAUAUCAAGUAUGACACACACAACUUCUUGAUCAAAAAGGGCUUUCACACUCACACGGGCACAACAGCCUGGCAAGGAUGAGAGCAACUCUUUAUUGUUCAGCAUGACAAUAUAUAGUUUUCUGAAAUGUACUAUCAAUAAACAAAAUGUAACUAAAACAAGAGAAAAGUAACAGGCCUAAGCUACAUAUCACUUGCUACAUAUCAAAGUCAGGAAGUUUCUCUUUGAAAAUCAGAACCCAUGUCCAUCUCAUCCUGAGAUAAGGAAUGGUAUGUUGGGGUGAAGUAACACUUUGGGGCACCAUAAACGAAAGACACAUAUACAAAGAGAUACAUAUGGCCCUGAGAACUAUCUUCAAGGAAUAUUCUAUUACACACUUCUAAAGGGAUAUUGACACAUUGGGGGAGACUGUAGUCAUUUAUUAUGAAGGAAAACAGCAUGGCAUGAAAGGGGGUGAGAAUACACAAGAGUACAGGAAAAUAAAACAGUCAAGGACAGCUGAAUGAUUAUCUCAUCCGGAACAUUGUUGCAGCCUGGCAGGCACCAUAUCACGUACGUUCCCGCAGUGAAGAAACAAAACUUAAAGAGUGCUUUCCUGCCAGUUGGGCCCAUGAUGCUUUGUAACUUUGGUUCUACUGUUUUGUUGUGCCAUUAGGUCAAGACUUAACUGAGGCCUUACCCUGACAUUGUCCCAACAAUUCCAUUAUCUAGUGUAUAUUUCCAAUAUGAUCUCUGGUACCUCUUCCCUUUCUAAAUCCAGCUUGGACAUCUGGCAUUUUUCGCUGUAUAUAUGAAAGUAUAGAACUUCUCCAUCUUUUGCUACCAAUUAUAUAAUCAAUUUGAUUCCUAUAUUGACCAUUUGGUGAUGUCCAUGUGUACAGUCGUAUUUUCGGUUGCUCAAAAAAUGAGUUUGCAAGAAACAAAUUAUCGGCUUCACAGAAUUCACCUCUGGGCUUCCUUUCAGCUUUGACCCAGUGUGUCAUGGCCCUGUCAGAGGACUCAUCAGACGAGGAUGACUCGGGAGUAACAGCAGCAGACCCAGAAGCAGCAGACCCAGAAGGAGAAAUGGAGGAAACUCCUGAGAACCCAGCUCCUUCUCCCCCUCAGCUGCAGAGCACCCCAGACACAGCUGAAGCCCUUCACCCAGAUGCAGACAGUGAACAGGAUACUCCCCCCUCACCUGCAGAACGUAGACAACAGAAGGUCAGGCAGAAGAGGGGCAGGCCUGUCCACUUAAGGCCAAAACGCUGAUGGCACACACCUGCUGACAAACCUGCUUCUUAAAAGUCAAACCUUGGCUUCAGCUUGUUGCUGACUACAAUGGCAGACGUGACCACUGUGUGUCUUCCUAUCCCCUGAACCUUGACUUGGACUGAUCUCUCGGCAAACUAGACCCGGACCUUCACUGACGUCUCUUCUGGAUUUCUGGCUUGGCACGUAAGCUUUGAACGGCCUCUGCCCUUAUCUUGAUUCCUCCUUGCUAGCCUGGCAGAUUUAUAGCCAAGCUGCCGGCUGAGGACUUAUGGCCUGGCAAUUACCAAGGAAUCUCCAGCCCUGCCUGCACCCCCACCGACACUGCUGUCUCAGUGAAGAGCUGACACAGUGUCAUUAGUCACAGCACUACUCCUACUUGUCCUAUAUUCUGUAGGGGCUCAAAAUGUAUUCUAUUCUGAGUGAAAGUGUUUUGUCCCAUGCGUUCUGUGUCAUUUUUGUUCCAUUCUGUACAUACAAUGCCUGAGCGUUGCUCGCCCCAGACUGAGGAUGGUAGAAACAUUUCUUGCCCUAUUCUGAUAAAAACAGCCCUGCUGGAUCAGAUCAAGGGCCCAUCUAGUCUUGUACUCAAAAUGGCCAACUAAAUGUCUUUAGAAAGACCAUAAGCAGGGCAGGAGGACAGCAGCCCUCUUCCCACUUGUGCUUCCCAGCAAGUGGUGUUAGGAGGCAUACCACCUCUGAAACCAGGGCCACAUUCACACCAUACAUUUAUUCCUCUGUUAUUUCACUUUAAACAGUCAUGGAUUCCCAAAAGAAUCCUGGGAACUGUAGUUUGUUAAAGGGGGCUGAGAGUUGUUCGGAGACCCCUGUUCCCCUCACAAAGCUACACUUCUCAGAUUUCCCUGGAAAGAGGGAUUGACUGAUAAACCACUCUAAUAAUUGUAGCUCUGUAAGAGGAAUAGGAG